CAAUCUUUGACGCAAAUUGCGCUCUUGGGUAGCCCUAGGAGCACGCCUCUCUCAGUAUCGGUUCAACAAUCUCUCAGCAGCGUAUAGCAAUAUGCGUGUUGGCUGGAUAAUGAGAGUCUGAGAAUUUAUUCUCAGUCUCUUUAAAUUCAUUGAAUAAAUAUGACUAUCGAUCAACUCUGCUUCGGCAGAUAGUCUCUCUCAGACUGUUGUUCAUUAGUGACGUGAAUACUGGCCUUUAUUGGUCUUCUUUACGUUUAUCUUCUGAGCAAUAUUAAAGUUUAGGAAAGGCGAACGUUCGUGUAGGGUGUAUUUAUGGCAGAAAUCCAUAUGAUCGUAAUUAAUUCAUUUUAAUUACUAUCUGAAUUUUGAUCUGAGAUGAAGCGAGACAACCCCCUGAAUUUAAGCAUAUUAAUAAGGGGAGGAAAAGAAACUAACAAGGAUUCCCCCAGUAACGGCGAGUGAAGCGGGAAGAGCUCAAUUUGAAAAUCGAUUACCUAAACGGGUCAUCGAGUUGUAGCCUAUAGACGUACUAUCAGCUGAAACCUGGGUAUAAGUUCUUUGGAAUGAGGCAUCAUAGAGGGUGAGAAUCCCGUAUAUGACCCAAAGCUUUCAGCGUACGAUGUGCGUUCAUCGAGUCGAGUUGUUUGGGAUUGCAGCUCUAAAUGGGUGGUAAGUUUCAUCUAAAGCUAAUAUAGGCG
rnacentral:rRNA from 1 species